AUUAUGCUGUGGUGUCUCUAGAGGAGUCUAUUGUGAGAGAAUCUCAUUCUCUCCAAGAUAUGUCAGAAAUUCACUGAAAAAGUAUUCACCAUCUCGGUCAAACCAAAGAGUCUUAAUAUUUUUUUUAAUUUAUUUCUUUACUUCAUUACGAAAUCAUUUGAAUAUUUCAAAUGAUUCGGACUUAUAUUUCAUCAAGUAGACAUACCCAUACCUAGA
rnacentral:lncRNA from 1 species